GAAAAGCAGCAUCGUUGAAGGUGAAAAUCCUGUUAAUGAUAUGGACUACCAGUGCAUUUGCGAUACGGUUUCUAAGAGUCGAGUUGUUUGGGAAUGCAGCUCAAAGUGGGUGGUAAAUUCCAUCUAAGGCUAAAUAUAAGUGAGAGACCGAUAGCAAACAAGUACCGUGAGGGAAAGAUGAAAAGAACUUUGAAAAUAGAGUUAACAGUACGUGAAAUUGCUGAAAGGGAAACGUUUGAAGUUAGUAUUGUAUUCGUUGGAUCAGCUUCGCAAGGAGUGUAUUCUGAUGAUAAGCAAGUCAACAUCAAUCUAUGAGUGUUGGAUAAGGGUUUCGAGAAUGUAGCAAUUUAAUUGUGUUAUAGCUUGAGACUUGGAUACGAUGCUUUUGAUUGAGGAACGCGUAGUAAGCUUUGUGCGGAUUGGAAACGAUCUCCUUACUAUGGAUGUUGGUGAAAUAACUUUAAGCGACCCGUCUUGAAACACGGACCAAGGAGUCUAACAUGCUUGCGAGUAUUAGGGUGUUGAAACCCGAAUGCGUAAUGAAAGUGAAUUUCGGAUGUGAUCCGCAAGGUGCAACAUCGACCGGUCCUGAUUAUUUAUAUGACGGUACUGAGUAAGAGCAAGUAUGUUAGGACCCGAAAGAUGGUGAACUAUGCCUGGAUAGGGUGAAGUCAGAGGAAACUCUGAUGGAAGCUCGUAGCGGUUCUGACGUGCAAAUCGAUCGUAGAAUCUGGGUA
rnacentral:rRNA from 1 species